rnacentral:rRNA from 1 species
AGAGUUUGAUCCUGGCUCAGGACGAACGCUGGCGGCGUGCUUAACACAUGCAAGUCGAACGGAAAGGCCCUUCGGGGUACUCGAGUGGCGAACGGGUGAGUAACACGUGGGUAACCUGCCCUCAGCUUCGGGAUAACUCCGGGAAACCGGGGCUAAUACCGGAUAUUCAUUGUCUGCCGCAUGGUGGGUGGUGGAAAGUUUUUCGGCUGGGGAUGGGCCCCGCGGCCUAUCAGCUUGUUGGUGGGGUGAUGGCCUACCAAGGCGUCGACGGGUAGCCGGCCUGAGAGGGCGACCGGCCACACUGGGACUGAGACACGGCCCCAGACUCCUACGGGAGGCAGCAGUGGGGAAUAUUGCGCAAUGGGCGGAAGCCUGACGCAGCGACGCCGCGUGAGGGAUGAC